rnacentral:rRNA from 1 species
UACGUAGGGGGCAAGCGUUGUCCGGAUUUACUGGGCGUAAAGCGCGCGCAGGCGGCUGUUCAAGUCCGAUGUGAAAUCUUCCGGCUUAACUGGAAAACGGCAUUGGAUACUGGACGGCUGGAAGGUGGGAGAGGGUAGCGGAAUUCCCGGUGUAGUGGUGAAAUGCGUAGAUAUCGGGAGGAACACCAGUGGCGAAAGCGGCUACCUGGCACGCUCUUGACGCUGAGGCGCGAAAGCUAGGGGAGCAAACGGG